rnacentral:lncRNA from 1 species
AUCACCGUUAAAGCAUCGAACUAACUAAACAAUCGAUAUACAUGUCAUUUGAUUACAUUUGCAUCAAACACAAGUAAUCUAUUACAUUCAUUUACAUUCAUUUACAGCACGAUUUCUUUUAACCAAAAGACUGUCUACAUCAUCUUUAUAUUACAUCAUCUUCACCUUACAGUUUCAACAUACAAAAGUUGAAUACACCG